UGUUUAUCUCCUGUUCACAAAGGGAAGGAGAGCCACAGCCACGAGGACUUGCCUAAGGGGCCAACAGCUUCAGGAUCUCCAGAUCCUGCGGCCAAGACAGAAGCAGACCCAGGGCGCGGACUGCGGCCAACGUGUCCACCGCUUCUGAACCUGUGUCAGAUGUGCCUUUACUUUCCACAUGCUCACUGCCUGAACCCACAAAGGGAAGCACCCCGAUCUGAAGAGUCCGGGGCCUAACAAGUGACUCCCCUCCUUGACAGUCGAUGCCUCAUUGCACUGAAGCUCUGACCAGGAGGGGUCCUGCCCUCGGGUUCGAGCCGAUAGCAAUGGGCAGAGCCCUGGUUAAAGAAGAAAACGGUACUGCGAAGGCCCUUCUUCCCGCACAGACGCCCUGCUUCGGGGUCUGCCUUGAACUUCUUUCCCGUUCACACCAUCCUGGCGUCCAGCUGGGCCCAGGCUAAGGCGCAGGCGGCUGCCCCUGGCGGCUGCCCCAGGCCCGGGGGCCUGGCCAUCUUGGCGUGGGAGCUGUACACCCCGUCGCCCACAGUGGACGCGUAACAGCGUGGACAGCAGGAACGUCCGUCCGUCGCCCUGCCACCGGAGCUGCCGCAGCCUGUUCCAUCACAGCCAGCACCCGGCCGCCUGUCACUCACCUGAGCGCGUCGGACCACGCCCUGGCCCGGCCAGACCCGUGAGACAUCAUGACUGUGACUCUCCCGGCUCCCCGAGCAGCCGGCGGGCCUCGUCUUGCCUCGGCAGCUGGGCUCCUGUGCGCCCCGAGAUCAUUACGGGGAGUGUGUGGCGUGAGCAGCCUCGCUGUCUCCGGUGAGGCGGCUCCGAGGGCUUGCUCGGGGCUCCCCAGGCCCGGGGCUCCCUCCCAGGGGGCCUCUGGGACCGGCCACCAGCGGCCAAGGCACAGCUUCCGAUGGCCAUGGGCUGAAGUCGUGCCGAUGGGCUGUGUCGGGGUGGGUGUGAGUGUGGGUGCUUGUGACUGCGAGCACCACCCCGCUUUCCUGAGCCUCGGGGUCACAGCUGUGACACGGGGAGAAUAAUGGGUCUACGCUGUGGAGUUUAAGUUCAGGGAGAUAAGGCUUCUGAAGCCCUGAGCGCAGGUGCUCGGCCCCGAGGGGACGUCCUCACGCAGGGCCCGCCCGCACGGCUCCCAGAGCCUGGAGAGUCUUGCCCGUCGCUGUCGCUCACACAGCCAAGUGCAGAUGCUCUUCUUGGGGAGACACGUGCGAUGAAGAGAGGAGCACAGCAUGAUCUUUGAAUUAUAUUUUUAAAAAUCAAG